rnacentral:other from 1 species
UUUAUCCUGAAAUGUGCGAUAACUCCUGUAUAUUUUGAACCUACAUUUUCUUAUAGGGAUUCUAAUAUCUUUAUAUUGAUGUGAGGCCUCAUGUUAGUGGAACACAGAGAUAUAAAUGCAGGAACCCACCUAGCGGCGCUAGGAGUCAACUUGCAGGAGCCGCCAUUUCGGCAUUAAU